rnacentral:rRNA from 1 species
AGGGCGCACGGUGGAUGCCUUGACACUAGGAGUCGAUGAAGGACGGGACUAACGCCGAUAUGCUUCGGGGAGCUGUAAGUAAGCUUUGAUCCGAAGAUUUCCGAAUGGGGAAACCCACCAUACGUAAUGGUAUGGUAUCCUUAUCUGAAUACAUAGGAUAAGGAAGACAGACCCAGGGAACUGAAACAUCUAAGUACCUGGAGGAAGAGAAAGCAAAUGCGAUUUCCUGAGUAGCGGCGAGCGAAACGGAACAUAGCCCAAACCAAGAGGCUUGCCUCUUGGGGUUGUAGGACAUUCUAUACGGAGUUACAAAGGAACGAGGUAGACGAAGCGACCUGGAAAGGUCCGUCGUAGAGGGUAACAACCCCGUAGUCGAAACUUCGUUCUCUCUUGAAUGUAUCCUGAGUACGGCGGAACACGUGAAAUUCCGUCGGAAUCUGGGAGGACCAUCUCCCAAGGCUAAAUACUCCCUAGUGAUCGAUAGUGAACCAGUACCGUGAGGGAAAGGUGAAAAGCACCCCGGAAGGGGAGUGAAAGAGAUCCUGAAACCGUGUGCCUACAAAUAGUCAGAGCCCGUUAACGGGUGAUGGCGUGCCUUUUGUAGAAUGAACCGGCGAGUUACGAUCCCGUGCGAGGUUAAGCUGAAGAGGCGGAGCCGCAGCGAAAGCGAGUCUGAAUAGGGCGUUUAGUACGUGGUCGUAGACCCGAAACCAGGUGAUCUACCCAUGUCCAGGGUGAAGUUCAGGUAACACUGAAUGGAGGCCCGAACCCACGCACGUUGAAAAGUGCGGGGAUGAGGUGUGGGUAGCGGAGAAAUUCCAAUCGAACCUGGAGAUAGCUGGUUCUCCCCGAAAUAGCUUUAGGGCUAGCCUUAAGUGUAAGAGUCUUGGAGGUAGAGCACUGAUUGGACUAGGGGUCCUCAUCGGAUUACCGAAUUCAGUCAAACUCCGAAUGCCAAUGACUUAUCCUUAGGAGUCAGACUGCGAGUGAUAAGAUCCGUAGUCAAAAGGGAAACAGCCCAGACCGCCAGCUAAGGUCCCAAAGUGUGUAUUAAGUGGAAAAGGAUGUGGAGUUGCUUAGACAACUAGGAUGUUGGCUUAGAAGCAGCCACCAUUUAAAGAGUGCGUAAUAGCUCACUAGUCGAGUGACUCUGCGCCGAAAAUGUACCGGGGCUAAAUACACCACCGAAGCUGCGGAUUGAUACCAAUGGUAUCAGUGGUAGGGGAGCGUUCUAAGGACAGUGAAGUCAGACCGGAAGGACUGGUGGAGUGCUUAGAAGUGAGAAUGCCGGUAUGAGUAGCGAAAGACGGGUGAGAAUCCCGUCCACCGAAUGCCUAAGGUUUCCUGAGGAAGGCUCGUCCGCUCAGGGUUAGUCAGGACCUAAGCCGAGGCCGACAGGCGUAGGCGAUGGACAACAGGUUGAUAUUCCUGUACCACCUCUUUAUCGUUUGAGCAAUGGAGGGACGCAGAAGGAUAGAAGAAGCGUGCGAUUGGUUGUGCACGUCCAAGCAGUUAGGCUGAUAAGUAGGCAAAUCCGCUUAUCGUGAAGGCUGAGCUGUGAUGGGGAAGCUCCUUAUGGAGCGAAGUCUUUGAUUCCCCGCUGCCAAGAAAAGCUUCUAGCGAGAUAAAAGGUGCCUGUACCGCAAACCGACACAGGUAGGCGAGGAGAGAAUCCUAAGGUGUGCGAGAGAACUCUGGUUAAGGAACUCGGCAAAAUGACCCCGUAACUUCGGGAGAAGGGGUGCUUUCUUAACGGAAAGCCGCAGUGAAUAGGCCCAAGCGACUGUUUAGCAAAAACACAGCUCUCUGCGAAGCCGUAAGGCGAAGUAUAGGGGGUGACACCUGCCCGGUGCUGGAAGGUUAAGGAGAGGGGUUAGCGUAAGCGAAGCUCUGAACUGAAGCCCCAGUAAACGGCGGCCGUAACUAUAACGGUCCUAAGGUAGCGAAAUUCCUUGUCGGGUAAGUUCCGACCCGCACGAAAGGUGUAACGAUUUGGGCACUGUCUCAACCAGAGACUCGGUGAAAUUAUAGUACCUGUGAAGAUGCAGGUUACCCGCGACAGGACGGAAAGACCCCGUGGAGCUUUACUGUAGCCUGAUAUUGAAUUUUGGUACAGUUUGUACAGGAUAGGCGGGAGCCUUUGAAACCGGAGCGCUAGCUUCGGUGGAGGCGCUGGUGGGAUACCGCCCUGACUGUAUUGAAAUUCUAACCUACGGGUCUUAUCGACCCGGGAGACAGUGUCAGGUGGGCAGUUUGACUGGGGCGGUCGCCUCCUAAAGUGUAACGGAGGCGCCCAAAGGUUCCCUCAGAAUGGUUGGAAAUCAUUCGUAGAGUGCAAAGGCAUAAGGGAGCUUGACUGCGAGACCUACAAGUCGAGCAGGGACGAAAGUCGGGCUUAGUGAUCCGGUGGUUCCGCAUGGAAGGGCCAUCGCUCAACGGAUAAAAGCUACCCCGGGGAUAACAGGCUUAUCUCCCCCAAGAGUCCACAUCGACGGGGAGGUUUGGCACCUCGAUGUCGGCUCAUCGCAUCCUGGGGCUGUAGUCGGUCCCAAGGGUUGGGCUGUUCGCCCAUUAAAGCGGUACGCGAGCUGGGUUCAGAACGUCGUGAGACAGUUCGGUCCCUAUCCGUCGUGGGCGUAGGAAAUUUGAGAGGAGCUGUCCUUAGUACGAGAGGACCGGGAUGGACGCACCGCUGGUGUACCAGUUGUUCUGCCAAGGGCAUAGCUGGGUAGCUAUGUGCGGAAAGGAUAAGUGCUGAAAGCAUCUAAGCAUGAAGCCCCCCUCAAGAUGAGAUUUCCCAUAGCGUAAGCUAGU